AGCAUGUUUGGGAUCCACUACUGGAUGGGUAACAGCAGCUUUGGUGACUGUAUGCUGUCCAUGCCCAAUUAUGCUCUGCUAAAAAUGAACUCUUUGCAGACCAACCUUCUUGAGCUGUCAGUGUUUUCCGUUUUCUUAUUUUAACGUUUGUGUAUAGUGGCAGGCGACAGAUGGUGUAGAUCAGAUCGAUUUGAUUGCAUUAGAUGAUUUUUCCCUCCCCACUCCUUUCUGGAAGCUCGCAUCAGCUGAAGGCUAUCGCCUGGGACUCAGAAGCAUGAGCAAGCCGCCGCCACGCGAAGGCACUGGGGCACAGCCAGCGAAAGGCACCGAGGUCCCUUCCCAGGGCUUGUUAACACAGUAACCCGGCACACGGCGGAAAUCAGCUUUCACUGCCCAAAGCCUAUCCCCAAAACACAUCAGAUGACUCCCUGGCUUUUACACACAGUUGGAGUUCUGCUUGAAACCUGGAUUUAGAGGGGAUCUAUUGCUGGCAGUGACACUCAAUCAAAGUACCAAGAGUGAGUUGAUGGACCACAAGGGGAUAUGAAGUCAAGCAAGUACAGAGGAAGAAAUUAGGAGACCAGCAGAAAUGGAAAUACACCAUCCAUUGGAUUUGUGAAAGAAGCAGCUGAGCAACUCUUUGGAUUCUUCUUUAGGGACAUAGAAUUAUGGAUUUAUUGACCCGAUCAAGUCC